AUUCAUCUGAUGAGUCCCAAAUGGGACGAAACACGCGUCCUGGAU
rnacentral:hammerhead_ribozyme from 1 species